rnacentral:misc_RNA from 1 species
AAAACUACAAGUACAUGAUCCACGGCUAGGGGUCAAGUAAAUGGGUUUAGGGGGUCAAUGCCUUGCCCACCCCCAUUUCCCGCUACCCGUGAUAAAUAAGCCAUGUCUUUUUUCAUACACAAGUGAUAGAUGCUCGUUAUAUAAUUACACUUUAUCAUCAUGGAACCACCAUCUUGUCUCUUUGGGAGAUCUGCCACUCUUACAGUUCUUCACAUAGCGAUCAUCAUCAACAGGGCGUUGCUUCACAGUCGCGCUCGACAGCAUGGAGAGGAUGCUUAUACAGAUAGAACUCACAGUCAUAGCUGGGGACCAUGAAUCAUAGAGAAUAUCUAAACAGAUAUGUCCAUUGCUAUAGAUGUGCGCAUGUAGAGGAGCUGGUGGGAGAAAAAUCACCUGUGGUGCUUCCAUAGGAUAAUGUUCGGGAAAAUCCACUUGAAGCUGAUAAGUUUCAUUCGCAUAUAGAGUUCCCGGGGCUCCGUUGACUUCAAUCACCCAUCGUUGGAGAUUAUCAGUGACUUUGUGCUUGAAACCUGUAGGGGGAUUCAACUGCCAUUCAGCGAGCUCCUUCUGCAAUCUGUUACACGCGAUCUUGCUUAAAGCCAUGAAAUUAGAGCAUGGACUUCUAGAAGAGACCUUGCGUGAAGGAGCAGAGGAGCUUGUC